UUGCACCCUUUUUACACCAAUAAUCUUUGAGAGAACAUAAAGGCCCAAUCUCUCCGUCCAUGCUACUUCCCACAUUGCUAAACCAUCUCCGACUCUUUAUUUCUAAUAUUUCGUUCCAUGCCAUAUCUUCACGGGAGCAACCAUUGUAGGUUUUUCCACUCCACGGUCACCCAGAGGACUCCCCUGUCUUUAUCCCAUCCUAAUAAACUCCUAGAAGAAGAACGUAUUGCCUCUUUGAUCCAAAAAUGCCCAGAUAUGAGAACCCUCCGCCAAAUCCACGCUCACUUCCUCAAAUUCCCCGCCAAUUCCUCCUCCUUCUACGCCCUCUCCAAGAUCCUCGCCUUCUGCGCUCUCUCCCCCUUCGGCGACCUCGCUUACGCCCGCCGCCUGUUCGCCCAAAUUCCCCACCCAAAUGUCUUCUCCUGGAACUCCAUGAUCAGGGGCUCCUCCCAGCUCCCCAACGCCACCAAAGAACCCAUCUUUCUCUACAAACAAAUGGUCCAGAAAGGCUUUGCUCUCCCCAAUAGCUUCACCCUCGCCUUCGUUCUUAAAGCUUGCUCGCUUAUCUUGGCCUUCUUCGAAGGCAGACAAAUCCAUUGCCAUGCGUUUAAACACGGGCUUUAUUCGAGCCCGUUUGUUCAGACUGGAUUGUUGAAUUUUUAUGCGAAAUGCGAAGAGCUUGUCGCUGCAAGAUUGGUUUUUGAUGAAAUUCCUGAUAAGAAUUUGAUCGCUUGGAGCGCGAUGAUUAGUGGGUACGCGAGGGUGGGGUUGGUGAAUGAGGCGUUGGAGCUGUUCCGGGAGAUGCAGGGGGUGGGGAUCAGUCCAGAUGAGGUGACAAUGGUCAGUGUGAUUCAAGCUUGUGCGAAAGCAGGGGCGUUGGAUUUAGGGAAGUGGGUGCACGCUUUUAUCGACAGGAAUGGAAUCAAAGCUGAUCUUGAGCUGAAAACUGCGUUAAUUGAUAUGUAUGCCAAGUGUGGGGAGAUAGACAGGGCAAGGAAGGUGUUUCAUGGGAUGGACGUGAGGGAUACAAAGGCUUGGAGCUCAAUGAUUGUUGGCCUGGCGAUACAUGGACUUGUAAAAGAUGCUUUGGAGCUUUUCUCAAGAAUGUUAGAGUCCAAGGUGAGGCCUAACCAUGUGACCUUUAUUGGUGUUUUGUCGGCAUGUGCUCAUAGUGGCUUGGUAAGUGAUGGUCGGCGAUUCUGGUCUAUCAUGCAUGAGUUAGGCAUGGAGCCAAUGAUGGAGCAUUAUGGAUGCAUGGUUGAUCUACUGUGUAGAUCUGGCCUUUUUGAAGAAGCUUAUUCAUUUGUAAAUACCAUGCCUAUCAUGCCAAAUUCCAUAAUCUGGAGGACCCUUCUGGUAGGAUGCAAGAGUAAUGGAUAUCUUGAUAAAGCAGAGGUUGUUGCAAAGCAACUUCUUGAGUUAGAGCCACUUAAUGCAGAGAAUUAUGUCCUACUAUCUAACCUUUAUGCAUCCAGCUCUCAGUGGGAAAAGGUGAGCUACAUGAGGAAAAAGAUGAAGGACAAUGGUGUCAAGGUCGUCCCUGGCUGCAGUUCUAUUGAAGUUGAUGGUUUCUUACGUGAGUUUGUGGUGGGUGAUGAGUCGCAUCCAGAGAUCAAGGAGAUAAGGAAGGUACUGAGAGAGAUAACUGAGAGGGUUCGACUUGUUGGCCAUGAGCCAUGGACUUCAGCGGUCUUGCAUGAUGUUGGUGAAGAGGAGAAAGAAGUUGCUCUGUGCGAGCACAGUGAGAGGUUAGCCAUUGCUUUUGGAUUGUUGAAAACUAAGGCACCUCUUCCCAUUCGGGUGGUAAAGAACUUGAGGGUUUGUAGUGAUUGCCAUGAGGUGACAAAGAUCAUAAGCAAGGCAUAUGACAGAGAGAUUGUUGUAAGGGACCGUGUUCGGUUUCAUCGGUUUGUCAAUGGAGCUUGUUCUUGCAAUGACUUUUGGUGAUUGCUUGUUUGAUAGAUCUCUGCAUUCUAACUGCAAAUGAAAGAUCAUGCUUAUUGUAAACUCUAGAAAGUUGACCAACCAUUGGUGGAUGAUCAGCUCACCUCCCUUUUUUUAUAUGGGGAAAAGGGCUCAUGCUUGUUCAUUGAAUGAAGCAUAUUGAGGAAAAACUGGAGAAAGAAGCUCAGUUGUCCUGAUCAACUGAUAUAAGACACACUGAAUCUUGAAUUAGAAAUGAAACGAGAGUUAUAAUGGACCUUUGGCGUAGAUGUCGAUUGGUUUACAAGAGCUGCAUUUCUGCUAGAGGUCUAACCUGGAUGGGACACCUGAAGGUGCCCUUGGUGGAAGAACCAUUUAAGUGGUCAGCUUCUUUAUUUAUAUGAGGAGGUUUUAUUUCAAGAGCAUCAGCUUUGGGAGAAAUUUGAUUCAGUCUAUCUUCCCCCUUCUAUCCAUGAUAUGGUCAGAUUACUCAUGUAAAGCGCAUUUCGUCCCUCAUUAAAAGUUUAAAUCCUCUCUCCUUCCCUGAUUAUUUUCAAUUUCAUUUUAUGUAU